AACGAACGCUGGCGGCAUGCCUAACACAUGCAAGUCGAACGAAGCCUUCGGGCUUAGUGGCGCACGGGUGCGUAACGCGUGGGAAUCUGCCCUUGGGUUCGGAAUAACAGUUAGAAAUGACUGCUAAUACCGGAUGAUGUCUUCGGACCAAAGAUUUAUCGCCCAAGGAUGAGCCCGCGUAGGAUUAGGUAGUUGGUGGGGUAAAGGCCUACCAAGCCGACGAUCCUUAGCUGGUCUGAGAGGAUGAUCAGCCACACUGGAACUGAGACACGGUCCAGACUCCUACGGGAGGCAGCAGUGGGGAAUUUUGGACAAUGGGCGCAAGCCUGAUCCAGCAAUGCCGCGUGCAGGAAGAAGGCCUUCGGGUUGUAAACUGCUUUUGUACGGAACGAAAAGGUCUGGGUUAAUACCCUGGGCUCAUGACGGUACCGUAAGAAUAAGCACCGGCUAACUACGUG
rnacentral:rRNA from 1 species